rnacentral:lncRNA from 7 species
CUUUUUCCUAUUUUAGUUCGGACUGAUGGAAGUCGUCUGCGCUGUAUUGCCGCGAAAAAUGCACUACCGUCCAGUGAGUGCUGCUAUGUUUUUACUAUGUGAUUUAUUUUUCUUUUUAUACUGUUUUGAGUGUAUUACUUCAUUUAAGUGUUACCUCUUUCAGUUAUUGGAGAGUUCUUGAGAUUGAGAUUGAAGCCAAAAUCGUCUUGACAAAAAAAUAUUGGCUCUUAACUCCUCGUUGUCAUGCAUGAUCCUUCACAGUUUCAUAG